rnacentral:rRNA from 1 species
AGCAUACCGCCUGGGGAGUACGGUCGCAAGAUUAAAACUCAAAGGAAUAGACGGGGACCCGCACAAGCGGUGGAGCAUGUGGUUUAAUUCGAAGAUACGCGAAGAACCUUACCUAGGCUUGAUAUCCAACAAAUUCUGUAGAGAUACGGAAGUGCUAGCUUGCUAGAAUGUUGAGACAGGUGCUGCACGGCUGUCGUCAGCUCGUGUCGUGAGAUGUUGGGUUAAGUCCCGCAACGAGCGCAACCCUCGUCCUUAGUUGCUAACGAUUCGGUCGAGCACUCUAAGGAGACUGCCUUCGUAAGGAGGAGGAAGGUGGGGACGACGUCAAGUCAUCAUGGCCCUUACGCCUAGGGCGACACACGUGCUACAAUGGCAUAUACAAUGAGACGCAAUACCGCGAGGUGGAGCAAAUCUAUAAAAUAUGUCCCAGUUCGGAUUGUUCUCUGCAACUCGAGAGCAUGAAGCCGGAAUCGCUAGUAAUCGCAAAUCAGCCAUGUUGCGGUGAAUACGUUCCCGGGUCUUGUACUCACCGCCCGUCACACCAUGGGAGUUGAUUUCACUCGAAGUGGAAAUACUAAACUAGUUAUCCCCCACAGUGGAAUCAGCGACUGGGGUGAAGUCGUAACAAGGUAACCGUAGGAGAACCUGCGGUUGGAUCACCUCCUUUCUA